GAUGAACGCUGGCGGCGUGCCUAAUACAUGCAAGUCGAGCGAACGGACGAGAAGCUUGCUUCUCUGAUGUUAGCGGCGGACGGGUGAGUAACACGUGGAAACCCUACCUAUAAGACUGGGAUAACUUCGGGAAACCGGAGCUAAUACCGGAUAAUAUUUUGAACCGUAUGGUUCAAAAGUGAAAGACGGUCUUGCUGUCACUUAUAGAUGGAUCCGCGCUGCAUUAGCUAGUUGGUAAGGUAACGGCUUAUCAAGGCAACGAUGCGUAGCCGACCUGAGAGGGGGAUCGGCCACACUGGAGGUGAGACACGGUCCAGACUCCUACGGGAGGCAGCAGUAGGGAAUCUGACGCAAUGGGCGAAAGCCUGACGGAGCAACGCCGCGUGAGUGAUGAAGGUCUUCGGAUCGUAAAACUCUGUUAUUAGGGAAGAACAUAUGUGUAAGUAACUGUGCACAUCUUGACGGUACCUAAUCAGAAAGCAACGGCUAACUACGUG
rnacentral:rRNA from 1 species